ACGGAAGGCAGCAGUGAGGAAUAUUGGUCAAUGGACGCAAGUCUGAACCAGCCAUGCCGCGUGCAGGAAUAAGGCCCUAUGGGUCGUAAACUGCUUUUGUGGUGGAGCAAUAAGUCGUACGUGUACGGCGAUGGGAGUACAUCACGAAUAAGCAUCGGCUAACUCCGUGCCAGCAGCCGCGGUAAUACGGAGGAUGCAAGCGUUAUCCGGAUUUAUUGGGUUUAAAGGGUGCGUAGGCUGUGGUCCAAGUCAGGGGUGAAAGCCCGGAGCUCAACUCCGGAACUGCCUUUGAUACUGGAUUGCUGGAAUACGGAUGCCGUGGGAGGAAUGAGUAGUGUAGCGGUGAAAUGCAUAGAUAUUACUCAGAACACCGAUUGCGAAGGCAUCUCACGAAUCCGUCAUUGACGCUGAGGCACGAAAGCGUGGGGAUCAAACAGGAUUAGAUACCCUGGUA
rnacentral:rRNA from 1 species